rnacentral:sRNA from 1 species
AUGGGCUUUCUUGAAAGGAUCCAAGAGAAGCCCCAGUCCCACCAUUUCUUUAUGGAAGUGCCAGCAUAUUCUCCCAUGGAAGACACAGACUUUGACCUUCGGAAAGCCCAUGAAGUGGCAGGGGCAGAGAUGGGUUGGAUUUUGAGGGAGAGAGAGGAGAGUCUUCUGCGUAGGCUAACUUGUUCUUUGGAGGAGUCAGAUUGUGAGACUGGGAGUGCUUGAUUUGUGGAGGUGGGCAUGGUGGGUAAAUAGCUUCUCUUCUGAAAGCUGUGAAUAAUGGUGCUCAUGAUAUGUUGCUCUAAGAAUGAGAAAAAAGAAGAAGACGAAGAAAGAGAUCUAAUGAAAUGUUGGUGUUGGUGGUGGUGGUAGAGGUGUCAGUGUUAAGAGGAAGAGUAGAGAAUGGGAGAAAGAAAAGAUUGGAGGUAAAAUGUAGCGUUCACAGCUCUAUCACAGCCUGUUUUAUUCGAUUUUUUGGAGGGGUUUGAUGGUGCGGUCCCAUUACUCUAUUCAUCAUAUUCUCUCCUUGCGAUAAAUUCAGAUGUUUCAUAUUCAAAAAAUAAAAAUUAAGAAUUUUAUACAUUCCAUAUAUGUACCAUAUUAUUAAGUAGUUCUUGUCCAAGAAAACAUAUAUUGAGUGCAUUAGAAAAGUAUUGUGAUUAAAUAGUGGUGCAUUAGAAAAGUAUUGUGAUUAAAUAGUGGUGCAAUAUGUGCUGUGGAAAGGAACGAGGUUGGCUUAAACUUGAGAGUAUGCAUGUGAGAUCAUGAAAAAUGGAGAAGAAAAAAAAUGGUUUGUAUAUGAGGUUUUAUGAUUCAGUUUUGAACUUUUUGAUUACUAUAUAUAACAAUAACAUGUUAUUUCGAAUCAUGAUCCAUCAUACCAAUGCAUGGCAUUCAAAACUAUUAUCUAGUUUUAUUUGGUUAUUAAAUCAAGUUUUAUGCAAUAAAAAUGGACAAAGUUUACAAUGAAAAUUUUAUGCAUAAAAAAUAGGAAAUAACUCUUAUACACAGUAUAUACACAACACGUACUAUUAUUUGAAAUUGUGACAUUGAUCUAAAAAAAAGAGGUUACACAGGUUAAUUUAAGACUAUAUCAAUAGGAUCUGAAUUUAUAAGAAGAAAAGUUGGAUUGCUUUCUUUUUGUUUAUAAUUACCUUUCUUGCGUAAUUCACUUACCUACCCAAUAAUUAAAAGCAGUCAAUAGUCAUAAAGCAUCACAUGCAUAGUAUUAUUCAUUUUUGUUACAAUAGAAACUCACGAGAAAUUGGAUUCUGAGUUGGGUAGCCACUAUAUCCAGUGAAGAGGUAUAUAAUAUAUUCUCUCUCUCUCUCUCAUUUUACUAGCUAGCUAGCUACUACAAAGUUUACAACUACUACAUGUUUUCGCCAUAAAACGUGGGGAGAGUAGACAGCUUCUCCGAGAGCCAAGGUGGUGACUGAGUGUGGGGACUACCUUUUUCUGUCGGUUGUAAAGUCUGGAUCCCAUACAAGUCCUUAAUAGUAUUACACACAAUUCUCGCUCUAGCUCUUUCUCUUGUCUUUAUCUCUGUCUCUCUCUCUCUCUCUCUCUCUCUCUCUCUCUCCCCGUGUGACUAUAAUGGCAAGCUUGCGACUUUAGCUUAAUAGCCUCACCGUCACCGUAAUUCAAGUAGAUAUAUACUCAAUGUACAUUGUACGUACAGCCAAAAAACAGUGAUAAAAUGAGAAUUAGAACUUAGAAGUGGUUAGAAACUAGAAUAGCUAAGUCAUAUUCAUGACUCAUGCAAGCCCUUCUUAAUGUAUAGGAAGAAAUAAUGUUGAUCCCAUGACUUUCAUAAAUUCAAUUAUUACAGCUCAAUAUAUAUAUAUAUAUAUAUAUGUUGUCAAAGUUAAAUUUCUUCCUACAGUAGUACUCAUUGUUCAAUACCAAAGUCAGUCAGGUGGUAAAAUCAGCAACUUUCUAUAAUAUAUAAUAUAUAUAAUUAUGUUGGUGGUAAGAGUGAGCUCCUUUUAUUCACUUUCAAAGUAAGGAAAAUGAAAAUGACGCAAAAAAAAUAAAAAACAUGUUUGACAAGACAUUUUCAGGAUUUAUUUUGUUAGUUUGUGGAAAAUAAUUUGNUGGGGGGGGGGGGGGGUAAUUAUAAGGUUGGAUUCCUUUUCAUUUUCAUUUCUGCUACUGAACCACUAUUCUAACUUUUCUCUUAAAAAAAAAAGGUCUGGUCCUAAAGAUGUGAGCCCAUCUCGGGUAGUGAAUAAAUAAGGUCCAUUUAACAUUUAGUAGAUGGUCCAGUAUGCAAACACCAGUCCAAAGCUUUAAAGGUCUUCUUUGUUUCCUAAAAUAAAAUUUCUACCCAUCAAGUUUAGAAAAUUACAACUUUAUUUGUAUAGCAAUAACUCUAGAGCUAUUGAGAACCAAUAAAAAACUUUCUGCUUUUAACUGUUGUGAAAAUUGGUACGUAUAUUCUUACAAUAUUUAAAGAUAUCAUCAACUUCAUUAUUGAGUUUACCUUUUGUUCAAUUGAUUUUUUUUUUUAAGUCACCUGAAAGCCCAACCCGUGUAUAUUGUAGUAUCUUGAAGACUUGAACAAUAAAUGGUUAUUAGAGACCACUAAGCAUUUUGACUCAAGUGAUAAAUGUGCAUUCUUCCAUCUGGGAAGAUAAAAUUGAUAAGGAUUAAGCGUGUUCUUAAGAGUACUUUUAUUGUAGACUUCUUUAAAUAUCUAGUAAACCUUUUUUUUUUGGGGAUAAAAUUCUUAUGAAUGAGAAGGUUGAAUGUUGUAUGGUAUGUUUUAUAUCCAUGGCCACCAAUAAUAGAGUAUAAAACAAUAUAAUUAUAGAAUCUGAGAGAGAGAUUUUGAGGACACGAAGAUAUGAAAAUGGAAUAUAGAAGACUCAAUUAGGUACCCUUCUUUUCCUCUUCACUGAUAUAUAUAUAUAUACACACACACACAUAUACAUAUACAUGUUAACGGAUACUCUUAGGACAAUGGUUAAUACCACUUUUAAGAAAGUUUUAGUUCCAGUUUUAUUAGAAAUGGAAAAAACUAUCAAAACAUUAUUUUUUUUCUUCCUCAUAAAAACUUUCUUAAACUUUCCAUGACUGAAAUUGGUUUUCCUUCAUGAGUUCAAAAAAAAAAAAAAAAAAAAAAGUUUUCCUUUAACUUACAUUUCCAAUACUAUCAAACUCAAGAAAACGUUUUCAACCCAAACUAUCACAACUUAAUUUUAUAUGAUAAAGAUAGAAAUGUUGAGCUCAAGAGCUAACAAGAUAUGCAUUCCUCUUGUGAGGAAAGUUUGAAACCAUGCUAAGAUGCCUAAAAGCCUGUUUGGUACCGAUUGGAGCUAUAACAAAUGGAUCUACAAAAAAUUUGAAAUCAAUUCUACAACUUAGUUUAGUUGCUGAGGAAAUGUAGGAAAAUGGAUAAGAAAUUGAAAAACUUUUAAUCUAAUUUUACUUGUAAAUCCAGGGAAACUAAAAUUUUGAAUUUUUGAUCUACUUUUACUUGUUAACCUAGGGAAACUAAAGACUACACUUUAACUACAACUAAAAAAUUGUUCAAACGCUUGAGCCUACUCGUGUGUUAAACGGUUAGUAGAGGAUGGUUCUCAGACGCUUGAGCCCAGGGGUUUUCUCUUAGGCUGAGAUUUGUAGUAUUCGUGUUUCCUUUCUCUUUGAGAAAGAAGUGUUUAUCUCCCUAUAGUGGCACUGUCACUAGUAGGGCUUGGGUUUUAUUCUUCGUGGGGUUUGGGAAACAGUUUAGUAUAGGGAUGGAAGAGAUAACAUGUAAAUGCGAUAAUAUGUCCUUGUCUGCUAGGGAAGGAAAGUCUGUUAUUCUAUCCAAGAAAUGUCAAGAGACGAAGUUUGUUCUAGUAGCCAAGUUCUUCACUAGAUGAGCACUGAACUUGGAAGCGGUGGCUCGCACCUUCAGGCCUCUAUGGAGAACAAAGGAAAGUUUUCAUAUUUCUAACGCAGGAAAUAGUAUUUUAUUCUUCGACUUUUAGGUGGAAGUCGAUGCCGAUAAGGUAUUACUUGGUGAACCUUGGUCUUACGAUAGGCAUUUGGUAAGUGUCUAGCGUUUUUAUGGCAGUAAGGCUCUAAAAGAUAUUGAUUUUAAGUUUUGUUCUUUCUGGAUUCAAAUACAUGACAUCCCAUAUAAGUAUAUGACAGAGGAGACUGUAAAGGAAAUCAGAGAUACUAUUGGGACUGUUUUAGAGCAAAGUGAUGGUUCGGAAUGGAAGGGAGGGACGUUUUUACGUGUUAGGGUGAGAGUUGAUAUUACCCGUCCCCUAUGCCGUGGAAGGAGAGUGACCUUUGAGGAAGGUUUAGAGCGAUGGGUGUCCUUCCAAUAGGAAAGACUCCCUAACUUAUGCUUCUUGUUCGGUAUGUUCUCGCACGACGAUAAAGAGUGUGAAAUUUUGUUAAAGAGCAAAGGAGCACUCACAGCUGAACACCAACAGUUCGGUCACUGGAUUAGAGCUAACCCGUUUGGUUCAAAUAGGAGUCGAAGUAUUGAAGUUAAGGGCUUUGAACCAAGACAGCCAAGAUCACGAGGUCGACCAGAGCAGAGAAAGGAUGGAGUUUUUGAACAAGGGGUUCAAUCCAAUGAGGGUAUCUGUCCCGGUGGGGGUGAAGAAACUUAGACGGCGGCAGCGAAGGCGAAAGAUAUAAACCAAAACGUCUCGGUUUCAAACAAGGGAACCGGGUUUCGAGGGCUAUCAGAUUUCGAGGCGAAAAUUGCUGAGAUUGACAAGGAAAUAUCACUAAAUCAACCCUUGUCAAAUCCUGGAGAUUUAGCUAAUGAGCAACAUACAAAUGGCAUCUUUUUGGGUGGGGAUGAACGGGGAGAUCCAAUGGAUAAUAUUGAGGGCCUAUUGAGUUUACAGAGUGCUCAGAUACCCCAAAGCAUGGAUUGUCAAAGCAGGGAGGUAGGUGUGUUAGGAAGUACAACUGGUCAGCUCGCAACAGACGGGGAAAAAAAGUGCGCUAAAGUGGAAAAUAACGAGACCAUAAAAGUUUCAGGGGAGUUGGGAAAAAUAGGAAUUGGGCCCGGCCCACAGAGUGAAGAGAAAAAAGGCCAGUGGACUAGAAUUAUUAAUAGGUCCAACUCUGCUUUAAGAGAGGAAGUUAUGCAUGGGGCUGUAGGCAUAAAACUUAAAGCUAAGGAAAUAGAAGGCAGUGAGGAGUCUAAUACAGAGAAGGAGAAAAAACAGAAGACAGAGGAGGAAACAAAAAAACUAAGUGUGUUGUUUGCUACACAUUUGAGAUCGGCGGAUGUUGCAGAGCAACCCUGCCGGGGGUUAUGAGUAUUCUUAUUUGGAAUUUUCGGGGGCUUGUGAACCGGCAGACAGUUCAAGAGCUCGGUGAUUUUGUUUGGGCACAAGAUCCUAUAGUGAUGUUUUUAGCCGAAACAUGGCUGGAUAAUACUAGGCUAGUUGGUUUACGUGAUUCUUUUCGUUUUGGUCAUCAUCAUGGGGUUUCUAUAUUAACACGUGGUGGUGGCUUGGUAUUGUUUUGGAAGAAAGAUUUUGAUUUGCAGGUUAUGUCUUCUUCUCAUAACCAUAUUGAUGUGCUGAUUAAUAGAGGGAAGGAGAAUGUUUGGCGCUUCACGGGUUUUUACGGAGCGCCAGAAACUCAGCUUCGGUGGGAAUCAUGGGACUUGUUACGUGAGCUAAAUAAUCGCUUCUCGGUUCCGUGGUUGUGCGGAGGUGAUUUUAACGAACUUUUGAAGUCGCAUGAAAAGUUGGGAGGCCGUUUACGUCCGUAUGGAUAGAUGCAGAAAUUCCGAGAAGUCUUAGAUGAGUGUGGUUUGUUCGAUCUCGGUUUUGUGGGAAGUAAGUUCACUUGGUUCAAAACUUACCCGGAUGGUGGAGUGGUUUGGGAAAGGUUGGAUAGAGCAGUAAGUUCAGCAACGUGGUUUGACUUGUUUCCUGCAACUAAGGUAACAACUCUGGUAUGUGUUUCUUCUGACCAUAGCCCGAUUAUGGUUUUACUCGAAGGGAUCAUUUCGAAGCCCCAAUGCCCCUAGCAUUUUGAACAAAUGUGGCUUGAAAAGCAAGGCUGCCAUGACUCAGUCAAAAGUGCUUGGAAAGCUAUUUCUUCAGAUCCGCCCAUGCCUAGAGUUAUUCAGAAUGUUGAUAAUUGUAAAGCCCAAUUGCAAGUCUGGAGUAAGAAUGAUUUUUGUAAUGUAGUUAACACAUUGACGGAGAAAAAAAAAAGAUUUUGAAAAAAGCGCAAGAGGCAGCAGUGAAAGGGGGAAGUGUGGAGUUUUUUCUCCAGUUAAAAGGUGAGGUGGCCGAGCUCCUCAGAAUGGAGGAGAAAAUGUGGCAUCAGCGAAGCCAUGUGCACUGGAUGGUUUCAAGGGACAAAAAUACCAGUUAUUUUCACAAUCGGGCUUCACAGCGAUUCCGGCAAAACACUAUUUUAGAACUUAAAGAUCCAUAAGGCAGAUUGUACUCGGGUAAUGAGGAGGUUUCGGGGAUGAUAGUGGAGUAUAAUAACCAAUUGUUUACUACCUCUAAUCCACAUGAUAUUGAGGAAGUAGUUCAAUUUACAAAACGGGUGGUGACUGAAGACAUGAAUCGCUGCUUGAUCAGAAAUUUCUCAAAGGAUGAAGUGGAGAUAGCCUUAAAGCAAAUGGCCCCAUUAAAAGCGCCAGGCCUUGAUGGUAUUCCACCGAUCUUUUUCCAACAUUAUUGGGAGAGUAUAGGAGAUGAUGUUGUUAAAGCGGUGGUGUCUUGCCUAAACUCAACUUCAAUAGCGACAGGUUUGAACCACACUUUUAUUACUCUUAUUUCUAAAGUGAAGAGCCUUGAAUUUGUAACGGAAUUCCGCCCCAUUUCCCUUUGUAAUAUAUUAUAUAAACUUGUAUCUAAAGUGUUGGCAAACAGGUUGAAGAAAGUUUUACCCCACAUUAUCUCUGAAUCUCAGAGUGCCUUUCAAUCGGAUAAAGCUAUUUCCGAUAACAUCUUGGUGGCCUUUGAGACUUUACACCAUAUAAAGAGGAGAAAAAGUGGGAAAUUGGGACAUAUGGCUCUAAAAUUGGAUAUGAGCAAAGCGUAUGAUCGCCUGGAAUGGGUAUUCCUUCAAAGGAUCAUGGAGAAGAUGGGUUUUCACUCAACUUGGAUAGGUUGGAUAUUGGAGUGCAUAAAAACUGUGUCUUAUUCGAUUUUAGUCAAUGGAGAGCCAAAAGGCAAUAUCCCACUCGUGGUAUUCGCCAAGGUGAUCCUCUUUCCCCUUAUCUUUUUCUAUUAUGCUCAGAAGGCCUAAAUGGGUUAAUAGAAAAUGCGGUGGAUAGGAAAUAUAUAGAGGGGGUGUCUCUUUGUAGAAAUGGCCCAAAGAUCUCUCACCUCUUUUUUGUAGACGACAGCUUGUUGUUUUGCCGAGCUAGGGUGGGGAACGUGGAAAAAAUCCAAGAGAUUUUGGGAAAAUAUGAACGGCCUUCGGGACAGAAAAUUAAUUCUGACAAGACCACCCUAUUUUUUAGUAACAAUGCCUCAUAUACUACAAAGGAAGAAAUUAAAAUUUUACUUGGGGUGCCAGAAAUCAAGGAGUAUGAAAGGUAUUUGGGGUUGCCGGCAGUGGUGGGAAGAAAAAAAAAAGGCAAGCUUGAACUACAUUAAAGAUAGAGUGUGAGGUAAGCUUCAAGGAUGGAAGGAAAAAAUUUUGUCGCAAGCGGGCAAAGAAGUUCUUUUGAAGAUGGUGGUCCAAGCCAUUCCUACGUUUGCCAUGAGUUGUUUUCGUUUGCCUAUUGGUCUUUGUCAAGAUAUUAAGAUGCUCAUUCGAAAAUUUUGGUGGGGACAAAGGGGUGACCUGAGGAAAAUUCAUUGGGUAAAAUGGGAGGUUUUAUGCCAACCAAAGAGUAAGGGGGGUCUCGUCUUUAAAGAUCUUUGCAAAUUUAAUAAAGCCAUGUUGGCUAAACAGGUGUGGAGGUUGAUACAUGACAAGGAGUCUCUAUUUUUUAGAGUUUUCAAGGCAAAGUAUUUUCCAAACAAGUCGAUUUUUGAAGCUAACUCUUCUUCCGGCUCCUUUGCUUGGAAGAGUAUUUUAUGGGCUAGAGAUUUAUUGAAAAAGGAGCCUUUUGGAGAAUUGGUGGUGGUAAAUCUGUCCGGAUGUAUAAAGAUGCAUGGUUACCAUGUCCUGAUGGCAAAAUCAGCUCCCCGAUCUUACACCUAACUCCGGAGUCCACUGUGGACUCCUUGAUUGAUCCAGCAACGGGUUGGUGGAACAUCAAUCUCAUUGACUGGUGUUUUCAUCCUCCUGAUGCAAAACUUAUUAAGUCUCUGCCUUUGAGUUCCAUCCCACAACUCGACACUCUGGUUUGGAGCUUUGACAAAUUGGGCAAUUAUUCGGUUAAGUCUGGAUACAAACUUCUUUGUGAGCUCCAUAAUCUUGAUAUAAACCGCCCACAAGUCUCGGAAUCUCAGAAGGGAUUUUGGAAAAGCAUAUGGAAGUUGAAGGUUCUGGGUAAGAUUAAGCAAUUUCUUUGGAGGGCUUGCACAAACUCGCUGCCCACUAAAGAUAACUUGUUGAAGCGAAAAAUUCUUCAUGAAUCGGUGUGUCCUCGAUGUACUGGAGAACCGGAGUCAGUUGUCCAUGCUUUAUGGAGUUGUGCCUGUGACAAAGUUGUCUGGGAUAUGGAUUUUGACUGGGUGGAUAGGAGCUCCACGGCUAUGGAUUCUUUUUCGAAGGUUUUCCAAAAAGUUCGAGCCAGACCUGCUUCAGUACCGUUAUUUACAGCAAUGGCUUGGUCAAUCUGGUACCAGAGAAACAAAACUCGCCUCCAAGAUAAUCCUCUGCCCCUCCGCAAUGUAGCUGGUUUUGCAAGAAAUUACCUUAGUGAAUUCAGGGGUAUGGAUAGGCCCUGUGUCCAAAGAGAACGAGCUGGUCCUCACAGGUGGAUUCCUCCGGUAUUAGAUAUAGUGAAGAUUAAUUAUGAUGGUGCUAUAUUUGGUGAGUUAGAUAAGGCAGGAAUUGGAGUUGUAAUUCGAAAUGGUGAGGGACUGGUGAGGGCUGCCCUAUCGAAGCAAAUUGCGAAACCUCCAACAGUGGAAUUACUUGAGCUUCUCGCGGCAAGGCGUGCUGUUCUGUUUGCUGCAGAAUUGGGACAUAUUCAGUGUGUUUGUGAGGGCGAUUCUGAAUCAGUUGUCAAUGCCUUAAAGAGACCCGGUAUGGAAAAUUCUCGAGGGGGGCAUCUCAUCAAGGAUAUUUUGUCUCAUUUAAACUCUUUUCAGAGUAUUUCUUUCGCUCAUGUACGUCGGCAAGGUAAUGCUGUAGCGCAUGCUUUAGCCCAACGAGCGAGAUCGUCUCUUUUUUCUCAGGUCUUGUUGGAGUGUGUUCCAACAGACAUUAUGUCUUUUGUUGUGGAUGAUUGUCCCAUUUCUUGAUUUCUAAUACAAGUAGUCAUUUCUCAAAAAAAAAAAAAUUGUUCAAACCAUUUCUUUUCUCUAUACUGAAAUUUAUAUAUCCUGGAGAGCCUUGGAACAAAUUCCAUCAUAGAGAAGCUAGGAUGGAUAUAAGAUUUUUCCCACAAUUAAUGUACUCUGUCUAUUGGCCUGGAUCAAUUUGCACAAUAAAUCGAAGUUCCCACUAGCCUAGCUCCCAUUAAAAAGAAAUAAAUUUGGCUCCCAUUUAAAUCUGUGACAACGCACAUUCACUACAAAAAACGCGCGGCAGGGCUGCAUUUUGGAGCUGCGUUUUUAAAAAACGCAGCUUCAAGGUACUGUUUAAGUUGCGUUUUUUAAAAACGCAGCUCCAGUACUGGACUUAUGGCUGCUUUUAAUAAAUGCGGCUAUAAACUGAGUCUAAAGCUGCGUUUUCUGGUGUUCAGGCUGCGUUUAGCUUCGUAGGUCUAGACCCAUCUGACGAUUUAUUUAUUUUUUCCUUUUUAAUAUAUCCUAAAGCUGCGUUAAACGCAGCUUCAACACUUAUAGAGCUGCGUUUAGCUAAACGCAGGUUAAACGUGUCUAGAGCUGCGUUUAAUAAAACGCAGCUCAAGGUUUGCUAUAAAUAAAAAAAAUAAGAAAAAACCUAAACCACUCUCUGAUUUCACCCGAUCUCUCUCCUUCUCUCUCACUCUCUCUCCCUUUGACUCCCAAACCCUCACAUAACCCAACCCCUCUCUACCACCGAUCCUCCUCACCGGCACACGAGCACUCUUCUUCAUCUCUGUUCUCCUUGCACAGCUACUCCAUCUUCCAUCCCCACCAAGCUCACCGUCAACUUUGGUCUUCCCUAUGCUUCCGAGCUUGCCUCCAAAGAGGUCAGUCAAAUCUCUCACUUUCUUUUUACUAUUGGGUUUUGUUUGUUUUGGUGUAAAUUUUAUGUGGGCUGAGUUUAGAUUUUGAUUCUGCAGUCUUAUUCUACACUUUUUAUGUCUGUUUGAGGAAUUUUUUGACAUGGGUUUGCUUUGUUUUUGUGUGAUUUCAAAUGGGUUUUCGUUAAAGCUUGUGUAUUUUCAUUGGAUUCUAUGUGAAUCACAGUGGCUUUCUUACAAUAAUAGAGUGACCCAUGUUGGGAAAUGGGAUUUGUGGCUAGUUGUGACACAAUUUUUUCAUUCUAUUUGGGGUUUAUCCCAAAGAGAAAAUAGGAAUAGUUUUGGGACUAAUCAAAGAUCAAGAAAUGAAAUAAUGAAAAGAAGAUAGUAACUUUCGAGUGACCUGUGAGCACGGGCAUUACUGCAUCCCAUAAUGUUUUCUAUACCUGUUUGGCAUUUGUGUCAUUAGGGUUUGAAUUAUCUGGAUUUGUUUUUUUGUUGGCCUUCAAUUAGGUUAGAAUUAAUUAUCCGGAUAUGUUUUAUAAUUUUUAAUUUAUAAAAUACUCUUUUUUUUUCUAUGACAAUAUUACACCUCCACAUUGAUCAGUGUCUACUUUCUGCAAAAGCCUCAUGGGCCUGUCUUGAUCGUUAUCAAUCUCUGAAUAAACUACAAGAUUUUCCACUGCUUUAUUUUAUUUUAUUUUAUUUUUUGCUUUAAUUCCACUGCCAGGAGCAUUAAGACGUAUUCUUAGAGGUCAAGCCUUGCUAUUUGACUAGUCAAAAUCAACUUCAUUGGCAAGGACCUUAUCUCCUGGAGUUUUGGAAAGUCAAAUAGAUGCCAAGAAGGUUUGUGACUUUGCCUUAUCACAGAAUCUUUAAAUGAGUUCAGUCCAGAGAAUAAAUGGUUUGCUAAGAAAAAAGUGAUUUAAAGAAAAUAAAUCUUGUCAUUCUUAAGUUCUACGGCUAUAUCAAGUUAUGCAGAAUUUGCAAGUGCUUUUUUGGAACUUGGUUGAUGUCUUUUGUAUAAUAUUUGUAUGUAUAAAACAGUUGGAAAAGGAUUGGUUGUUAGUGACUUUUACCAACAAAAGAGAAAAAAAAAAGAAAAAGAAAAAAAAAGAAGUGAAAAUAUAGUUAUGACGUAGUUGGUCUAUUACCAAUUGAGUUAGGAGUAUUCAGGAAAUGUGAUAAAUAAUGGGUUCAGAAUGUCCAAUGUCAUGCUACAGAAGAUACCACUAGCUUGGUGAUUGCUUUAAAUUUGUGUACAAUCUUGAAAACUACAUAGUCCAAAGGGUUGGUAACUGAUUAGGUUUUUUAUUAUUAUUAUUCUAUAUAUAUAUAUAUAUAUAGGAUUCAAAAAUUUAUGACAUUUAAUUUAUAAUAAUUGUUUUUUACCAUUUGACCAAGACACUAGUAGGUUUAUAUUUUAAGUGUAAGCAAUCAAGAUUCAAAUUAACUCAAGAUACUUAUUCAACAACAAGAAACUUUAGUUUGCCAAUUUACCUAAUUGGAAUCCAUUGUUUAGGGUUUCAUGAGUUAUAAAUUAUAUAUAUAUAUAUAUAUUUUACAAAAACCAGCUAGAAGAGGGUGUCUCCAUGUGCUAAUUAAUCGCUCCUGUCCCUACAACUAUACAAGUCCAAUAACAAGGUUCCAUUAUUUUGUUGGUUGGUGAUAACUGUUGCAUUAUUUAUAUGAGAGGCAUGAAUUAGCCAAGUUGGUGGAAUCGGUUGGGGUUGUCCUCCAGUUGUCUUUAGCUUUGGGUGGUUGAUUAGAGAGUAACAUAGCAAUUCAAUCCAGCCACAUGAUUUGAGAGAAGAGAAAACAGAUCAGUUUCCUCUGUUUCUCUUUUCCUUCUACCAUCUUUCUCUUACAUUUUGCUGAUUUAUAGUUCUCUCAAACUUGAUUUGUAUGUUACUUAUGUUCCAUCUCUUUUUCUAUAUACAGGUUUAGAAUUUCAUAGCUUUAUUUUCUUAGUGUGAAUUGGCUACUGCAAAUCCAGGUGACUUUUCUUAUUGACUUUUUAAAUAUUGGCAAAUCCAUGUGCACUUGAUCUCCUAUGUGCGCCAUCCUUUUCUCCUUUAUGGGGCCAAUCCCUCCUUUUGAAUUUUGAAAAUAAGUUCAAUUCCAUGAGAUAACAAGGUAUAUUUAAUUUUUAUUUUAAUAUAUAUUUUAGUUUUUUCAAGGUUAUAUGAUAAAUGUAAUAAAAAUCUCUAAAUCCUAACCACAAAAAUGGUCCUGCCUCUAAUUCUUAAAAUGCAAAAUAAAAACAAAGAAGACUUCUAUUAAAAAUAUUUACUUUUUUUGUCCUAAGGAACAUAUACUUUGAAUACACUUUCUAUUAUGUAAUUUAACAUUACAAGAGAGAGAUUGGGUUUGUUGGUAAGGUAGAUGUGACAACUAUUAUUGGUGAUUAAUUUUUUUUUUUCAGUGGACUUUCUCAUGGAGACAAUACGUGGGUCUAACCUUUCUCGUGAGGGAAAUACACAUAACAUGACAUAUCAUAUUUGUGACAUUGUGCAUAUUCAUUUCUAUUCAUAUAAAUUGAGCAAUUGUUUCUAUAUACACAACUAUAAUGUUCUCAUUAUUGUACCUAAAAUUUGUAGUUUGAGAUCUAUUGAAUUUAUUGCCUUAUUUUACUGACCCUUAAUGAUUUUCUAUUUUCUCUUGUUCCAUACGAACCUAGUGUUUCUUUUGAGCUCAUUACCCGUUGUUCCUAUAUUUUUUUGGAUUAUUUGCUCAAAUUCAUAGUCAUAAGAGGUUGUUAGGACAUAAUCAUUUUGCUAAAGGUGGACUACUAUAAUAGUUUCCAAUUUAUUUCCUUUCAGUUUCUAAUUAACCUUGAGGUAGGUUAGUAGUAUUAUUUGGUAUCUUUUAUGAAAAUAAUGGAAAAUCAGACUGUUGUUAUAAACAGAAAUUUCUUUAAGGAAAUUGAAAUGAAGGUUACAAUAUAUGUCAAGUGUACUACAUUGUGUACAUGCCAUGAGCAACAAAGACACUGCAAAAUUAGAAUGUAUUGCUUAGACGCUAUUGUUUUCUUUUUGCUGAAUAACUUAGACGCUAUUGUUAGACAGCUUCUUUAUUAAUUCUUCAUUUCAGAGUUCCACUCAUGCAUCUAUACCCUAUUCUAAUUGGAAAACAUACAUUUACUUAUAAUCACACUAUAAAGACAAUAAUCAUACUUCACUAGUUGAAGUAAAAGCUCAACCAUAAAACAACACUGCAAUGCUUAUAUGCGUCACACGCUUUACCUUCAUCUGCAUUAAUUGUCACACUGCAUAGUUUCGCAUAUACAGUGACUAUAGUUUUCGAUUUUUAUUACAAACGAAAAUAAAAAAAUACUCAUAUAAGCUGUGUAAUAUAAUAUUUAGCUUUCUUUUACAUCUUACCUGUGUACAUGAUUGUACUACAUUGUAUAUAUGUGGUCCAAUCUUCUACAUCUUACCGUACUUAUUAAUUUUUGCUUCUUAAUAGGGGUUUCAAGCAGGAAGACACUGAGCCACCUACGAUUCUUCUUCAUAUUCCACUGCUUUCUGAAGAUAAGGUAGCUUUCUUUUCAUUACUUGCUUUGCGGUUAAUUAGAACAUGGUAUACUCAACAUGAAGUAUUGUUCGCAUUUUAUUGUUGAAACUUGAAAGAAUUGAAAUUUGAUUACUAGUGAGCUUGAAUAUGAAGGGACCUUAUUGGAAGGUAGCUUUCCAUCUAGGAAAUUAUAACAGUUGUUGUUAUAUUUUAUAAAACAGCAGUGAAUAUGGAUUAUGUAAAUGUAUGUGUAUAUAUGAAUUUGAAGAGAGUGGAAUCUAUGAUACUGUAUAGAGGUUGGAAAGAUUUAAACCUUUAAAAGUGCCGCUAGUGAACUAUGUCUCACUCUCAAUCUUGUUUUAAGAUGCCAUGGUUUUAAAUGGAUACAAGCAAAAAGACUAUGUGUAAGCCUCAUAUAUGAUAAUGACUCUAAAAAUGUAAGGGAUGCUGACCUUGUUAAUAGACUGACUAAGCAAAAUACUUGGUUAUUUGUUUAGAAUCUGUUUGUUUUAGCUUAAAACGUUAGCUUAUUUCUAGUGUUCUCAUUGUCAUAGGUAA